UACGGAGGGGGCUAGCGUUGUUCGGAAUUACUGGGCGUAAAGCGCGCGUAGGCGGCUUGGUAAGUGCGGUGUGAAAGCCCCCGGCCUAACCGGGGAACUGCAUCGCAGACUGCCAGGCUCGAGAGCGGGAGGGGAGACUGGAACUCCUGGUGGAGCGGUGAAAUGCGUAGAUAUCAGGAGGAACACCGGUGGUGAAAACGAGUCUCUGGUCCGCUUCUGACGCUCAGGUGCGAAAGCUAGGGGAGCAAACGGG
rnacentral:rRNA from 1 species